rnacentral:misc_RNA from 1 species
UUUAUAGAGCGCGUAAAGAGUGCGUGAGCGGUGUUUGGCGUGUAUGGGCAUGUUGGAUCCCUGCUCUGGCAGCGACGGCGUCCCAUAUAUGUCUCUUCAGUUGUUGGCACAAGCACGUGCUUGGCCGAAGUCGGUUUUCCUGUGUUGAAUACCUACCGUGAAGGCAUUCUGUUGGCUAUAAUUGACUGUUUUCCACCCUGUGCCGCAGCCCCUUGUGGGAUGCGGUACGGGGAGGACGUUAAGGCAGCCGCCGUGUUUCGCACUGUGAUCAUCCUCUCGGGUGUUCCGGUUGACGACCCACGGCGCGUUGCUUGAUAUCUCGGGUGCGGAACAUCACGUGGGUACGGGACGUCAGUCUCUGAUAACCACAAAAUUAAGCGUUCUACGCUUCGUGCGAACGACGAUCGGCUCGGUCUCUGAUCUCGAUUGGAGUCGUGCCGAUGUCGAUGAGGAAUGC